rnacentral:rRNA from 1 species
AGGGUUUGAUCCUGGCUCAGGAUGAACGCUGGCGGCGUGCCUAACACAUGCAAGUCGAACGGAGUUAAUUUGGAAAUCUCUUCGGAGAUGGAAUUCUUAACUUAGUGGCGGACGGGUGAGUAACGCGUGAGCAAUCUGCCCUUAGGUGGGGGAUAACAGUUGGAAACGGCUGCUAAUACCGCAUAAUGCAGAGAGAAGACAUCUUCUUUCUGCCAAAGAUUUAUUGCCUUUGGAUGAGCUCGCGUCUGAUUAGCUAGUUGGCGGGGUAACGGCCCACCAAGGCGACGAUCAGUAGCCGGACUGAGAGGUUGAACGGCCACAUUGGGACUGAGACACGGCCCAG